GCCCAUACUGGAAAACCAUUUCCUUAAUGACAAAAAGGGACAGUGGGAAGCCUAGAAGACAUUCAUAAUAUCAUACUAGUGUGCCUGUAUAAAAGAAACACAGCAAAUAUAACAGUUUUUGAGGGGUUUUUUUUAAUUCGAAAAUACAAGUAGUGGUUGCAGUUUUUUUUUUUUUAAGUAACAGGGAUGUAAAUGGAUAAUCUCUUGAAAUUUUAUGAAUUUUUGCAUACAACCAGAGUAAGAGGGAAUACACAUAAACAUUGAAAAAAUAUAUAUAACUUUUAUACUUUCUGCGAUAUAGCAAAUAUAAUGUUUUGAAAAUAGUUGUACAAAUGUAUGGAAUACACUAAAGCCCACCUUCUGUUGCAGGAUUUUCUGGCUGUGUUGAAGACACAUUUGUGGACUACUUUUUGGUCGAGUUGUUGUCUUUUACGACACAUUCCCUAUUUCUAUUCUCAAUUUUACUUGAAUAUUUUUAAAAAGUUCAACAAUUUUUUUAGUCCUGUCCUACAGAUUUUCUUUCAAAAUUAUUUGUUUUGGCUACUGAAAUUUCAGUUUUAUUGAUAUUGAAUUUAUAGGGGGUCAUCAAAAGGAUUUUUGAGUAUGAAAGAUGAAUCUUCUGUACAGCUUGGUAAAAGUGUAGAAAAGGAAAAUAUAAUCGUGGCAUUGUCACUUGAAAUGUAACUUUUAUGAAGUCUUUAAAUAAAUGAUCUAUUCAAGCAGUUUCACAUGUUCAAACUGCUUUUAAAUUUUCAUUGAAAUCCAUGAGCAUUUUACGUUCCUGUAACCUUAAACACUAUUUAUUUAAGGCGUGUUAUUUUUUUCACAAAUCUGUUAAAGUUACCAAC
rnacentral:lncRNA from 1 species